rnacentral:tRNA from 1 species
CAUUAGAUGACUGAAAACAAGUAAUGGUCUCUUAAACCAUAUUAUAGUAACUUAGUGAUUACUUCUAAUGA